AUGCAUCUGAGCGAGAACGAGGGGAUCGAGGGCGUGCGGUUCGUGGUGACAGGCGGGCAGGGCUUCGUCGGCGCCGCCCUCUGCCUGGAGCUGAUCCGCCGCGGCGCCCUGGAGGUCCGCUCCCUCGACCUGCGCGCCUCCUCCUCCUGGUCCCAGCAGCUCCUCGACGCCGGCGUCCGCUUCUUCCAAGGGGAUGUUCGGAAGAAGGAGGAUGUGGGGAAGGUUUUCCGCAAUGUGGACUGUGUCUUCCACCUUGCUUCAUAUGGAAUGUCAGGGAAAGAAAUGGUACAGGCAGGACGAACAGAUGAGGUCAAUAUAAAUGGGACGUGCAAUGUACUGGAUGCUUGCCAUGAGCAUGGUGUUAGAAGGCUUGUGUAUGUUAGCACAUAUAAUGUGGUGUUUGGGGGAAAGCCAAUUGUCAAUGGCAGUGAGACGUUGCCUUAUUUUCCCAUUGAAGACCAUGUUGAUGCUUAUGGGCGUAGCAAAUCGAUCGCUGAACAGUUGGUGCUGAAGAGCAAUGGUCGGCAAGCUAAGAGUAGUAAAGGUACUCGCCUUUAUACAUGUGCAAUACGCCCGGCUGCUAUCUAUGGUCCAGGUGAAGAGCGUCAUCUUCCAAGAAUCCUGUCUCUUGGAAAAUUGGGAUUAGCAUCUUUCAGGAUUGGGGGUCCAAAUGUGAAGACAGAUUGGGUCUAUGCUGAUAAUCUUGUUCUUGCACUGAUAUUGGCAAGUAUGGGACUUUUAGAUGACAUUCCUGGCAGGAAGGGAACUCCUGUAGCAGCUGGUCAAGCAUACUUCAUAUGUGAUGGAGCGCCUAUUAAUAGUUUUGAUUUUAUCAUCAGUCCCUUGUUUCGAAGUUUGGGCUAUCCUGUACCUCGAGCUACACUAGAUACCUCUGUUGCCCUUGCAAUUUCAAGAAUCAUUUUGUUCAUGUCCACACUAUUCUAUCCAUGGUUAGAUAGUAAAUGGAUUCCUCAGCCUCUUAUUCUUCCUGCUGAAGUAUACAAGGUGGGUGUUACACAUUACUUUUCAUAUCUGAAAGCUAAGGAGGAACUUGGCUACGUGCCUGUGACGAGUCCACAGGAAGGCCUGGCCGCAACGAUCUCCUAUUGGCAAGAGCGGAAGAGGAGAGAGCUCGAUGGCCCGACGAUAUUCACCUGGGUUGCAGUAAUAGCCGGGAUGCUGGCUGUGUUCUCGGCCGCUUUCCUUCCCCCGUCGGUCCGCUCAAAUGGGUGCUCGCCAUCAAUCUGUUCGUUUUCCGCUCGAUGCUGGUGA
rnacentral:rRNA from 1 species